CGAGCCAACUAGACAGUCGCUCCCGCAAGGGGGAGGAAAGUCCGGGCUCCACAGGGUAGAGUGCCAGGUAACGCCUGGGAGGCGCGAGCCUACGGAAAGUGCAGCAGAAAAUAUACCGCCUAAGCGCGCAAGCGCCGGUAAGGUUGAAAUGGUGCGGUAAGAGCGCACCGCGCAGCUGGCAACAGUCUGUGGCAAGGUAAACCCCACUCGGAGCAAGACCAAAUAGGCCUUCUAUGGUGCGACCCGCACUGAAGGCGGGUAGGUUGCUUGAGGCAGAUGGUGACAUCUGUCCCAGAUGAAUGACUGUCCACGACAGAACCCGGCUUAUCGGUUGGCUCAUUCA
rnacentral:RNase_P_RNA from 1 species